ACGUGAUCUGAGUUCAGACCGGAGUAAUCCAGGUCAGUUUCUAUCUAUAAGGAGCUUUUUUUAGUACGAAAGGACCAAAAAAGCAUGGCCCAUGUUAUCAACAAGCCAUCUCUACUAACUCAUGUUUUAAACUUAACCCGUAUUUAGUCCCUCUCUCUGUUCAAGAAAAGAACA
rnacentral:rRNA from 1 species